UUGCAGGACCUCCACUCUUGCAGCACCUGA
rnacentral:piRNA from 1 species